rnacentral:rRNA from 1 species
UACGUAGGGGGCUAGCGUUGUCCGGAUUUAUUGGGCGUAAAGAGCGUGUAGGCGGCCAGGUAGGUCUGGUGUGAAAACUCGAGGCUUAACCUCGAGAUGUCAUCGGAAACCAUCUGGCUAGAGUCCGGAAGAGGAGAGUGGAAUUCCUGGUGUAGCGGUGAAAUGCGCAGAUAUCAGGAAGAACACCAAUGGCGAAAGCAGCUCUCUGGGACGGUAUUGACGCUAAGGCGCGAAAGCGUGGGGAGCAAACAGG